rnacentral:lncRNA from 1 species
AUUUGAUUUCCUUUGAAUCGGGCCUAACGAUAACACGGGAUUUGAAGCACGGUUCUCGGCGUUGAGCGCACUGACGGGACCAAGAGAGUUUUUGUCAUUGAAGUACUGUAACUACCCACCUGUACAGUAACGAUAACACACACAGAGGACAUAACAACCUAAUCUUCCUACUUUUCUUUGCGUCAACUCCAUGGGGAAAAUGUCAGAGGAGACAUUUAUCAGACGUGUUGUCAUAUCUCUUUGUGUUUUGAACCUCUCCAAAAUGAAAAAGUGAAGCAGUUUGUUUGACUUGCAGAAGGGGUUUUGGCUUACUCCCCAUGAAAAUAUGAUUAUAAAUUCCUCCUGCAUUUACUGUUGGCAUAUUCUAAACAAUUGAGUCCACUGAUUACUGAGUUAUAUAAGAAUUCUUGUGUUAUUUGAGACUUAAUACAUCAGACGCUGUGUAAAAGUGACAUACCUGUUUUUUAACAUAUCAAAUCCAAACCAAAGAGAACUUUUUCUGUUUUGUGGGAUUUUUAUUGCAGGCUGGGGGAGGAGGAAAGAAAACUGUGGGAAUUCUUGCCUCAUACUCCCAAGUUGAUGCUUUCGGUGCAAUUUUUACCCACUUGCAGCUGGGCUGUGAGUAUUGCUGCUCUGUGAUAGUGAUGUUGAUGUCCUUAUUUAAACCUCUGGGGCUCAGCCUCUGUGUCUGAUUCAAGAUUUUGAAAGUCUUGGCAUCUACCCUGAAGCUUCUCGAUGAAUUGUAAGACAUGAAAGAAACUGCAUUUUGCCCAUUC